UACGAAGGGGACUAGCGUUGUUCGAAAUCACUGGGCGUAAAGCGCACGUAGGCGGAUAUGUCAGUCAGGGGUGAAAUCCCGGGGCUCAACCUCGGAACUGCCUUUGAUACAGCAUAUCUUGAGUCCGAUAGAGGUGGGUGGAAUUCCUAGUGUAGAGGUGAAAAUUCGUAGAUAUUAGGAAGAACACCGGUGGCGAAGGCGGCCCACUGGAUCGGUACUGACGCUGAGGUGCAAAAGCGUGGGGAGCAAACAGG
rnacentral:rRNA from 1 species